ACAUUGGUGGUUCGGUGGUAGAAUUUUCACCUUCCAUGCAGGAGACCCAGGUUCGAUUCCUGGUCAGUGCA
rnacentral:tRNA from 1 species